GAGUUUGAUCCUGGCUCAGAUUGAACGCUGGCGGCAUGCCUUACACAUGCAAGUCGAACGGCAGCACGGGAGCAAUCCUGGUGGCGAGUGGCGAACGGGUGAGUAAUAUAUCGGAACGUACCUUUCAGUGGGGGAUAACGUAGCGAAAGUUACGCUAAUACCGCAUAUUCUGUGAGCAGGAAAGCAGGGGACCUUCGGGCCUUGCGCUGAUUGAGCGGCCGAUAUCAGAUUAGCUAGUUGGUGAGGUAAAGGCUCACCAAGGCGACGAUCUGUAGCGGGUCUGAGAGGAUGAUCCGCCACACUGGAACUGAGACACGGUCCAGACUCCUACGGGAGGCAGCAGUGGGGAAUUUUGGACAAUGGGGGCAACCCUGAUCCAGCCAUGCCGCGUGAGUGAAGAAGGCCUUCGGGUUGUAAAGCUCUUUCGGCCGGGAAGAAAUCGCAUCAGCUAAUACCUGGUGUGGAUGACGGUACCGGAAUAAGAAGCACCGGCUAACUACGUGCCAGCAGCCGCGGUAAUAC
rnacentral:rRNA from 1 species